AGUGAAGCGGGAUGAGCUCAAAUUUAAAAUCUGGCCGGUUUACUGGUCCGAAUUGUAGUUUAAAGAAGCGUUUUCGGUGGCAGCCUGGGUAUAAAUCCUUUGGAAUAGGGUAUCAUAGAGGGUGAGAAUCCCGUCUUUGACUCAGUGCAUGCUACUAUGUGAUACGUUUUCAAAGAGUCGAGUUGUUUGGGAAUGCAGCUCAAAAUGGGUGGUAAAUCUCAUCUAAGGCUAAAUAUUGGCGAGAGACCGAUAGCGAACAAGUACCGUGAGGGAAAGAUGAAAAGAACUUUGAAAAGAGAGUUAAACAGUGCGUGAAAUUGUUGAAAGGGAAACGUUUGACACCAGUCAUGCGGGCGGAAAAUCAGUCUUUUGUAGUGAGGAAGCGCGUGGGUUCAGACCGCAAGGCUGGCCUAUGUGUUCUCCCUGCUGCAAGUGAUGCACUUUUCCGUCUGCAGGCCAACAUCAGUUUCUUCUGCUGGACAAAACUCCAAGAGAAGGUAGCAGCUUAGGCUGUGUUAUAGCUCUGGAGCGAUACAGUGGAGGAGACUGAGGUUUCGCAGCGUGUGCUCUCGGGCAAGGCGGAUUGGGUGCUAUGAGAUCGUUCGGCGUACAAUGCAUGCAUUUUGCGCCGUGUCCUUUUUAUACUCGCUCA
rnacentral:rRNA from 1 species